UACCCUUGGUAAUGGGCAAAGAGACGCCUAGUUGGUGGCGGUGUUCUAUCAGUCAGGGGCAGAGCAGACGGCAGUCCUUUGUUCGUUCUAGCUUGAUGCCUGGUUUGGUGGCCCAAUCUGUUUUAUGUCUAGGACACAUAA